GCCACCCUGAGAAGAUCAGUGUGGGGCUCCAUCCUCUCCAGACCAUGGUCUGGAGGAGACACCAAGUGGGCCAGCUCCAGGCUGGAGGGAGCAUUCUGAGUGUGAGGGUCAAGCAUCUGGGAGCCCAGGACCCAAGAUCUCUGAUUCUUAGGUCUGAUCCCUGGCCACAGGCAGCCUCCAGCCCUGUACCCCAGCUGGGAGUGGAUGGAGGGUGCCAUCAUUGAGUCACUGAACCCUUCAGGCUUCAGCCAGAUCCAGCCCAGGCCCAGUACUUGAGUGCCCAUGGCUGAUACAGCACCUCCAGGGCAAGAUGCUAUUUAUGCCCAUACACCCAGGGCACACAAUUUGGGUUGAGUUCACCAUUCUUUGGCAACCAUAUGGCACACAGCAAAAGCUGGAAGAGGCGCAGGCCCGUGAGGACCACAACCUUGGUUGUCCAUCCUGGGAAAUGGGCAUCCUGGGGCCUGGACACCACCAGGGAAGCUUGACUUGGUCCCUGCAGGAGAGACAAAGAGGCCCAGCCUCAGGAGCCGCGCCCCUGCUGGGGAGUCGAGCCGCCAGCCCGCUCUGCCAGCCGGCCAUACAUAAUUCAUCGCCAAAUGGAGCCGCGGGCGCUUGAGCUGGGGCCGCUCUUUGCCUGGCACUUUGCUGACUGCUCCUCACACGUCGCCUCUUCGCAUCUUCAUGGAUGUGGAGUGUGAGCCUCCCCCACUCACCCAGGGCGACCCCAGGCUCCCACAGAAGCCACCCCAAGUUGCACUGACCAUGCAGGGCUCCGGGCAGCUGCCUACUAUCCUCUCUGCUUCCCUGGAGAUGGAGAGGAUAGAUGGGUGGAAGAGACCAUACCCCGAGACAAGCCCCACUGAGUGGAAGGACAGAGGCCACCCUCUGGGGUCCCCACACACACACACCAAAUCAGACUGAUCAGCACAGGCUGGAAAAGCAGAGCAUCUGAGGGAACAGUCAGACCCCUACCAGGGGUGCAGCAGAAUCUUAGAAAUGGAGUCACCAGCCUGAUGGGGUUGUUGGGAUAUGCCAUGAGGGAGUGUUGUGUUUAUAAAGGGAGGGGGAGUCCCUUUAUAAGGUGAUGGAAACAUUCUGGAUCUUGACUGGGAUGAAGAUUUUGCAGAACUGGGGCCAGUGAGAUGGCACAGCAGGUAAAGGUGCUUGCUGCCAAGCUUGACCACCUGAGUUUGACCCCUAGAAUAUGAUGGUUGUAAGAGAACAAAUCUCACCAACUUGU